rnacentral:rRNA from 1 species
GUACACAAAAAUGCACAUAUUGUGAGCUCGAUGAGUAGGGCGGGACACGUGGUAUCCUGUCUGAAUAUGGGGGGACCAUCCUCCAAGGCUAAAUACUCCUGACUGACCGAUAGUGAACCAGUACCGUGAGGGAAAGGCGAAAAGAACCCCGGCGAGGGGAGUGAAAAAGAACCUGAAACCGUGUACGUACAAGCAGUGGGAGCCUCUUUAUGGGGUGACUGCGUACCUUUUGUAUAAUGGGUCAGCGACUUAUAUUCUGUAGCAAGGUUAACCGAAUAGGGGAGCCGAAGGGAAACCGAGUCUUAACUGGGCGUUAAGUUGCAGGGUAUAGACCCGAAACCCGGUGAUCUAGCCAUGGGCAGGUUGAAGGUUGGGUAACACUAACUGGAGGACCGAACCGACUAAUGUUGAAAAAUUAGCGGAUGACUUGUGGCUGGGGGUGAAAGGCCAAUCAAACCGGGAGAUAGCUGGUUCUCCCCGAAAGCUAUUUAGGUAGCGCCUCGUGAAUUCAUCUCCGGGGGUAGAGCACUGUUUCGGCAAGGGGGUCAUCCCGACUUACCAACCCGAUGCAAACUGCGAAUACCGGAGAAUGUUAUCACGGGAGACACACGGCGGGUGCUAACGUCCGUCGUGAAGAGGGAAACAACCCAGACCGCCAGCUAAGGUCCCAAAGUCAUGGUUAAGUGGGAAACGAUGUGGGAAGGCCCAGACAGCCAGGAUGUUGGCUUAGAAGCAGCCAUCAUUUAAAGAAAGCGUAAUAGCUCACUGGUCGAGUCGGCCUGCGCGGAAGAUGUAACGGGGCUAAACCAUGCACCGAAGCUGCGGCAGCGACACUAUGUGUUGUUGGGUAGGGGAGCGUUCUGUAAGCCUGUGAAGGUGGCCUGUGAGGGUUGCUGGAGGUAUCAGAAGUGCGAAUGCUGACAUAAGUAACGAUAAAGCGGGUGAAAAGCCCGCUCGCCGGAAGACCAAGGGUUCCUGUCCAACGUUAAUCGGGGCAGGGUGAGUCGACCCCUAAGGCGAGGCCGAAAGGCGUAGUCGAUGGGAAACAGGUUAAUAUUCCUGUACUUGGUGUUACUGCGAAGGGGGGACGGAGAAGGCUAUGUUGGCCGGGCGACGGUUGUCCCGGUUUAAGCGUGUAGGCUGGUUUUCCAGGCAAAUCCGGAAAACCAAGGCUGAGGCGUGAUGACGAGGCACUACGGUGCUGAAGCGACAAAUGCCCUGCUUCCAGGAAAAGCCUCUAAGCAUCAGGUAACAUCAAAUCGUACCCCAAACCGACACAGGUGGUCAGGUAGAGAAUACCAAGGCGCUUGAGAGAACUCGGGUGAAGGAACUAGGCAAAAUGGUGCCGUAACUUCGGGAGAAGGCACGCUGAUAUGUAGGUGAAGCGACUUGCUCGUGGAGCUGAAAUCAGUCGAAGAUACCAGCUGGCUGCAACUGUUUAUUAAAAACACAGCACUGUGCAAACACGAAAGUGGACGUAUACGGUGUGACGCCUGCCCGGUGCCGGAAGGUUAAUUGAUGGGGUUAGCGGUAACGCGAAGCUCUUGAUCGAAGCCCCGGUAAACGGCGGCCGUAACUAUAACGGUCCUAAGGUAGCGAAAUUCCUUGUCGGGUAAGUUCCGACCUGCACGAAUGGCGUAAUGAUGGCCAGGCUGUCUCCACCCGAGACUCAGUGAAAUUGAACUCGCUGUGAAGAUGCAGUGUACCCGCGGCAAGACGGAAAGACCCCGUGAACCUUUACUAUAGCUUGACACUGAACAUUGAGCCUUGAUGUGUAGGAUAGGUGGGAGGCUUUGAAGUGUGGACGCCAGUCUGCAUGGAGCCGACCUUGAAAUACCACCCUUUAAUGUUUGAUGUUCUAACGUUGGCCCGUAAUCCGGGUUGCGGACAGUGUCUGGUGGGUAGUUUGACUGGGGCGGUCUCCUCCUAAAGAGUAACGGAGGAGCACGAAGGUUGGCUAAUCCUGGUCGGACAUCAGGAGGUUAGUGCAAUGGCAUAAGCCAGCUUGACUGCGAGCGUGACGGCGCGAGCAGGUGCGAAAGCAGGUCAUAGUGAUCCGGUGGUUCUGAAUGGAAGGGCCAUCGCUCAACGGAUAAAAGGUACUCCGGGGAUAACAGGCUGAUACCGCCCAAGAGUUCAUAUCGACGGCGGUGUUUGGCACCUCGAUGUCGGCUCAUCACAUCCUGGGGCUGAAGUAGGUCCCAAGGGUAUGGCUGUUCGCCAUUUAAAGUGGUACGCGAGCUGGGUUUAGAACGUCGUGAGACAGUUCGGUCCCUAUCUGCCGUGGGCGCUGGAGAACUGAGGGGGGCUGCUCCUAGUACGAGAGGACCGGAGUGGACGCAUCACUGGUGUUCGGGUUGUCAUGCCAAUGGCACUGCCCGGUAGCUAAAUGCGGAAGAGAUAAGUGCUGAAAGCAUCUAAGCACGAAACUUGCCCCGAGAUGAGUUCUCCCUGACUCCUUGAGAGUCCUGAA